GUUUCCAUGGUGCAAACAAACCCCCGGCUCUACCCUGGCCACACCCACUGGCCCGCAGGAACAGAGGUGGCAGGAAGAGAACCUUCAGCAGCCUCAAGUGUGCCCUGAUCAGUCACCUAUGCUGCUUGUUUAAAAUACCCUGUACCCGUGCAGGCUGGGCACCCCAGGACAAAGGAUGUACUCAACCUUACCAGCCACAGGACAAAACCAAGGCAGCAGAUGAAAGAAGGGCUGCAAAGACAGCAGUCGCUAGGGAAACAUGGAAAGAAAGCAAAACAUCGGUGUUCAUCCCCAGGAUGAAGCAGGCUGCCUUGUCUGAGCCUGGGGUCUUCGCCAGAGGUGCACCUCAUCAAAGCCCCUGAGAUGCCCCUCCAGGGCCUGGUCCCUGCAGGAGAAACCAAGCUCUAAGGCAGAGGCAAAGGAGCCACACAGCUGCACCCUGCAAGCCUUCUGGAGUCCUUGUCAGCUGUGUCCCUCAUAAGUCAUUCAAGGAGACCUUGUGGGUUCCAAGCUUGGGUCAUUUAAGUGGUUGUUGUCGCAUAAACAUGGCUUUCCAAGGACA
ensembl:lncRNA